AGACGAGAAUCACAAGGCUUCGGGAAGGGAUUCCACAGAUGCUCAGGUAGGGGUAGGAGAUGAGAAUCAUGAGGUUUAAGGAAGGGAUUCCACAGAUGCUCAGGUA
rnacentral:antisense_RNA from 1 species